rnacentral:tRNA from 1 species
CAUUAGAUGGCUGAAAGUAAGCAACGGAAUUUUAAACCGUGAUAUAGUAAAUAACAACUACUUCUAGUG